CAAGUACACAAAAGUCACCAGCAGAAUCCUCUGGACUCAGCAGUCCAGUCCUCAUGCUGCCCCAAGGACAGCACCGCCCUUGAGUGACUUCCAGAGAGAGCAUUCACUGACAGAGAAUUGCAGCCAGUCCUCUCACCCACUGUGCAACUCACCAGCUGCACAAGUGCUGAGAGGACAGGGAGCUUGUGCUCUGGGAACACGAGGGCAGUGGGGCCCCACUGAGCACUGCAGGCUGGGCUCUCCUCAGUCACAGCAAGCAAUUCAAGGAGCCACAGCCUGGGCAGUGCACUGCUUACAACAAGGAGCAGCAAGAUCCAUGUGCUGCCUGUGCCUGCACUCCUCAGGUUACAGGGAACCCAUCAGCUUGGUUCCUACAUUGACAGCUCUGAAUUAAGGUCACCAGUGCUCACCUGUUGGCCAGCUGCUGCUCAAAGUCUCCACACUGAUGAAGGAGUUCACCACAAAUGGAAAUUAUCCUGAGAAAGAACAAGACAAAAGCACACUGUGAGAUUUGAGAAAACAGCCUGUGCUCGAAUGAAGCAGCCAGGGGGACACUGAUGAUUCACGGUCCAGUCAGAGACACUUUCUGCUCUCAGCCAUUUUCCACAAACCAGAGAGCCCUCGGCCACAAAGUGCUCACUCACCACUCGCUCAGGAUAAACGGAGCAGUACUAAAGGCA